rnacentral:tRNA from 1 species
CAGAAAAUAGUUUAACUAAAACACUAUCUUUGGAAGAUAAAAAUCAACCAAGUUGUUUUCUGG